ACACGUAGGGCGCAAGCGUUGUCCGGAUUUAUUGGGCGUAAAGAGCUCGUAGGCGGUUUCGUAAGUCGGGUGUGAAAACUCAGGGCUCAACUCUGAGACGCCACCCGAUACUGCGAUGACUUGAGUCCGGUAGAGGAGUAGGGAAUUCCUGGUGUAGCGGUGAAAUGCGCAGAUAUCAGGAGGAACACCGGUAGCGAAGGCGCUACUCUGGGCCGGUACUGACGCUGAGGAGCGAAAGCAUGGGGAGCAAACAGGAUUAGAAACCCCGGUAGUCC
rnacentral:rRNA from 1 species